AAGAUUUACGAAUUUCAAGGGCUGGAAUGUAAAUUUGACAUUUUGAUACACUACUGGUUAUUACAGCGUAUUCAUCUCUUAGGACAACAGAGAAUAAAUCAGAGUCUCAAUUAUGGAUGUCUAUUGGACAAAUCCUUCAAAAUACCUGACAGAUACAUCACAAAACUAAAGCAGGUACCUCUUAUUUGCUUUCUAAUGAACCUGAAAGGACUUGAGGAAACUGUAUAAGCAGCCCAGAAAUUACCAUAUUUGUCUAAACCCAUUUUUGUUAACCACAAACAUGAUGGAUUCUACUUGAAUUUUCAAGUUUGA
rnacentral:lncRNA from 1 species